UUGGUCGAUUUAUAUUUACUUUACGUGCUUCUGGUCGGUAAAUGCAAUUUUUUUGAGUACAGUUUUCGCAUUUACCGACGAGAAGCACGCAAAGCACUGUACGUACGAGGUUCCAAAUUUUUAUUUUGACUAGUGGGAAUACAGACUUCACCGUCGGGUCGGGCCAUAACAUACCCACUCGUCAAAAUAAAAAUUUUGAACCUCGGACGUAAUGUACUAUUAUUAGACCUUACGUCUUCUGUACUCAUAGAGCCGAGUAAAGUACUUUGCACUCGAUGUCGUCGAGUGCUAAGUACUUUAUUAGACACAUCGUGUGCUCAACAAAAGAAGAAGAACUGAAUUAUUGGAUUUUUUUUUGAUCUUGUUGUUUCGGUUAAUAAAGUACUUUGCAUCGAGUUUCCUACAACGAUUUAUGCAACAGAAGCAGCUAGAGUUUCCAAAUGUUACACAUUAUAAUGCUGAGGUUUGUUCACCCUUUUUCAUGACUUAAAGAACUGCACCAAAAAAGUUGGACGAAAAUACUCCUAUAAUAAGUGAUGUAUUGUAAUUGUAAAUUGUUUGUGGGCUUUUGCAAAGAAAAUAAGAUGAUGGAGUUUGAAAUAUUGCAAGAAGUGGAAGUUACUUCAUUCGAAAGCAAUUGAUUGAUUAAGUUGUUCAAAUAUAACCACUGAAGCUCAGUGCCUCGUUCAGUGCACAACGAAUGCCAUUUUCAGCGAAUGACAUCCGAAGGCGAGCUCUUUAAUCGAAUCCGUUAAAAAAAGCCUUUAAGCAUAAGUUAGGAACAACGUUUUUCUAAGUCACGAUGUUUAGUGUUAAGGUAAAAAUAGUUAUUUAUGAAACUAGGUUGCAUAACGAAAUAUUUCAUCACUAGACGUGAAUUGUGAACCCGAGGCGAAGCCAAUACAAUUCACAAUACAUCAUGUGAUGAAAUAAUUCAAUUAUGCUCCGUGUGUAAUACAACGUUUUACGUAAAGAAGCAAUUUUAUCAUUUACUUUAUCGCUCUAGUGCGAAAAAUUUUAUGGAAAUCCUUUAUUGAACUGGUGCUCUUUAUCGCACUGACGCAUUUUUUUCACGGUGGGGUUAAACAAAACUUAAAUAGAGUCGCGAUACCACCUCUGAUUUUUCUUCAUGUUCUUAUUGAGGGACUCGAGUACUAUAAGGAACCACAUUCAGUUCGCGAAUCCAUCCAGCCGUUUCGGAGAAUCGGCACUGAUGGCCGUGCGGAACCGACGAGUCAACGGAUAGAGGCACUAAUUCUAAGCUAAUUCGCGUUAAAAUGGCUUUCUUCGACAACCUGGAGAACAUGAAGAAAGAGGUGGGAUCGCGACUCUAUUUAAGUUUUGUUCAACUCCACCGUGAUUUGAGUACGCAAAUGGCAACUCGUACUAAAAUUUGACAUACGCCAUACUUAAUUACUGUGCUAGGUGCUUUGACUAUCAUGCAUAAUUUGUUACAACAUAAA